AAUAAUAAGAGAGGUCCGUAUCCGGCUAUAAUGUUAUCAAUAGCACCAGGCACUUGUGCUACCAAGUUUUCUACCGUUAGAUCAUCCUUUUUGACUAUUUCCAUCCGUUCGAUCAUACUAUUCAACCAACCACAUCCACUCAACCCUAGAGGACCAUUAUUAUUCGAACCGUAUAUCGCUUCAUCUAAGAGCUAAAAACUUAAUAGCACCAAAGAGGUCCCUAACUGGGGACCAAUUUGAAAAAAAAUAUAUGUUUAAU
rnacentral:lncRNA from 1 species